rnacentral:lncRNA from 1 species
GGAAAAUCAAAAAUCCAAAGAAAUCCAAAAUUAGACAUCGGAACGAGUCCAAAUUUUACACACAUGUUGGUGCUAACCUUAAUGUCGUUCGACAAAAAUGCGGCGCCAAAAAACGACGACAUUGUCUAUCUCCUAUUUGGCCAAUGGAAUGUUCUGAAAACGCGUUUUAGGCUAUAACUCCCACACCGAAGCUCCCACAUUCAAAACGGAGACAGAAAACGAGAUUUUGCAGCAAUUACAUUUAAGUACAGUUAAUCAGGCUGAAAAUGCCCCCCCUAGCUUACCAGAUCUAGCACUGUGUGGGACAACUUCAGAAUUCGAGAACAGUCCUGACCAAAACACUACAGACAGUGAUGCCAGUGAAAGAGAGGAUUUUAGUGGGUUAUCCAGCUGUGAUGAAAGUGAGCCUGAGGAAAUGAGUUUACAAGCUAAACUAAAGCAAUGGGCAUCAACUUUUGGCAUUACUCUUGUUGCAGUUACCGCUCUUCUAUCAAUAUUGAGAGUACACCACUCUGAGCUGCCUAAAGAUGCCAGGACACUUCUUGGCACACUAAAGAAAAUAGCUGUGCGUGCAUGCAUUAGGUGGUGGUGAAUAUCACCAUUUUGGAUUGGCUAAGGGAAUUUUAUCAAAAUUGAAUUCAAUCCAUUUGCCUAGCUGCCUUCAGACAAUUCGGUUACAAUUCAACAUCGACGGUUUACCCAUUUUUAAGAGUUCAAAAGUUCAGUUUUGGCCAAUUCUUCAAUUUUCUUUCAUUCACCUCAUUGACAGAUGGCACAGGUGUGGAAGGUCGUCGAAUUCAAAGAUAGGAGCACUACCAUAGUGCCAAGCAGCUGGUUGGAGGAGGCAGGGGAGUCAUGGAAUUGUUUCUGGCCUCCUAGUUCUUACGAUCAUAACCGCCUCCAGAAGGCAGUCGCGCACCACCUUCCUCCAGGUGCAGUGUGGGACGUGCACGGUGACGUGAGGGUCUUGGUUAGCUGUUGUAAGGAAAAAUGCGGCAUAUGAAAACGUUUCUAUAAGAUUCAACUUGCUAAAUUUCACUAAUGCAUGCCAUUCACUUUCAGCAACAUAUGUAAAGGCAAAGGACUACCUGAAAAAGUCCUUACUGUGUUUAACAUCAGACAUACAGUCAGAGGCUGAAGACCCUAUCAGAAGGAAAAAAAGGCCAAACUCACGCUACCUGCAGGAGCCAGCUGGAAGAGUCCAGACCACUACGGGCCCGCCGCAACACUUUUUUGAAGGUGUGGACACUGAUGACGAGGCACCACCCCCCCCAAGAAAAACAGCACGACAAUCUGUAGAUGUUGGGCCAGACAUCAAUAGUGAGUGGCUAUUUGGGCCAUCGACCACCCAAAGAGCUCAAUCAAAUGGCAGCCAGAGACUUGAGCUACUACAUCUAGAUACAGUCCAACCAAGCCACCAGCUAUUGCAUGAUAUGGGAAUAUCUAAAGUCGUGGAGCUGCUUUCCAAAGUGCUGGAAGAAAAUAAAUUGAUGAAAGCGGAAAUUACCAACCUGGGGAGUGAAGUGAGGGCGCUUAGGAGAGAGAUGGUGAGGCCGGUAGCACCAGAAGCUGCCGCUUCGUCCAUCAAGCUGCCUCUGAGGACAAUGGAGGAGUUUCAAUUAGCAGAGGCUGUUAUGAGAGAAACCCCCUGCGAAAAACAAAAGAUGAUCUUAACAUUCAGUCUAAUUGGAGGGCACACUGCAGAAGAGGCCGUAAGAAGGAUGUUGCAGAGUGGCCUAACAAAUAACCUGGCGUGUCGCUUCAACUGGGCAGGGAAAGGCUUCAAGGAAGCCUUUAAAAGCACUGUCCUUAGUGAUGUACUGUUCGGUAUGUUUGGCAAAACUCAGUCACACCACACAAGCAUUAGACACAGAUACCACUGA